UACGGAGGAUGCGAGCGUUAUCCGGAUUUAUUGGGUUUAAAGGGUGCGUAGGCGGCUUUUUAAGUCAGCGGUGAAAUUUUGCAGCUUAACUGUAACAGUGCCGUUGAUACUGGGGAGCUAGGAUUUGGUUGCUGUGGGUGGAAUGUGUGGUGUAGCGGUGAAAUGCUUAGAGAUCACACAGAAUAUCGAUUGCGAAGGCCGCUCACAAAGCCAAGAUUGACGCUGAGGCACGAAAGUGUGGGGAUCAAACAGGAUUAGA
rnacentral:rRNA from 1 species